GUUUCCAACAUUGAUUUGCAACGAUUAGCACUUUCUUAUGUUACUCAGUUCUGUUUUCUUAUAACUAGCUCCACUUCUUUUGGACAUAAGAAACCAAUUUAGAACAUUUUAGAAAAUGUAAAUGAAUAUGCAGCUUUGCAUAUAAUGAAACCCAUUUUGGGAUCAUGUUAAAAUAAUGAUGUUCUAAGUCACUAAACGUUCACCCCAACUGAACUUUUGUAGAAGAAAGAGUUGAAGGCAGGUGGGAAACAGAAAGAAAGGGGCUGCUAGAAAAAUCAGAAAUCGGAAGGAAGAUCUUUGUCACUGUUAUAAUUCACUGUCUGAUAUUUGUAUUGCAAUUCAUGUUGAACCUAGUUCUGGAAGGAACAGAGACAGAGUCUGAAGCACAGCCUAAAUCCCUAAUAAAAUUUAAACUCAUUUAGAUCACUAAUUUCCUAUUCAUUAUACGGAAGAGUGAAGUGGGGUUUAGACCUGAAAUGCUUCAGUGUGAGCUGUGAAGCCCCACAGCUUGGCUGGAUCAAUCUGGACUUCGGGCAGAUGCGUACUAAGGGCUGCUUACCUAGAGGAGCCACGUUUCUCCUGUAUAAAAGUCAAAAGUGUGUGUAUAACGGGAGAGAAGAGAGAAGAGAGGAGAAGAUGGAUUAAUAUUGAGCCUUUUAGUAGGGACCACUCCUCAUACAUUGUCUCAUCAAAUCAACUCUCCAAAGUAGUAUCUGUCCUGUUUUAUGGAAGGGACAACUCAAAAAUGUGGCAUUACCAGACAGUCAAGAUAACUGCCAGAGGAGCCACAUGCUGGGUAAAUCCUGAACCCAAAGUGGAAUUUUGCCCUAGUAUAAUGGGUUCAUAUUCUGUUGGCUGUACUUAGCUAUAAAUCCUGAGGAGGAGAAGAAGAAAGACAUCAGAAAGUAAUUGGGCUAGAAGAACCUUAGUUCGGAAGCAAAACACAGAAUCCAGAAACUAUGAAGAAAUUUACAUGCACACAUAUGUAUACAAGCCAUGAGAGGGAAAUGGGAAUGUACCUGAGAGUGUCGUCAAAGCGUACAGUGGCUGCACAGUGAAAUAUUAUGUUUGUACAGGACAGAAGCUCUUGCAUGUCCUCUUUGCUGAUGGCAAAGUCAUUCUGAUUGAGAUCUGCAUAAAUAGCUCUGAUCUUCUCAUGCACAUUUGGAUAAACUUCUUUGACUUUCUCAAAUAGCUGAAACAUAAAUAUAGAUCAAUAUACAAAAAAUAGCAUCAUCAUUAUCACAUUGUUCUUGUUUACAACAACCUGUUUAAUUAUGCUCAAAAACUGGUUUUAGUUGUAAUAACAUUACUUAAAGAAGACAUCUGGCAGGGCACGGUGGCAUAUGCCUGUAAUCUCAGCACUUUGGGAAGCCAAAGCAGGGAGAUCACUUGAGCCCAGGAGUUCGACACCAGCCUGGGCAAAAUGGUAAAAACCUGUCUCUACUAAAAAUACUAAAAGCCAGGCAUGGUGGUGUGUGCCUGUAGUCCCAACUACUUGGGAGGCUGAGAUGGGAGGAUCCCUUGAUUAAUAUUAGAAAAACUGUUAAAGAUCUUUCUGGAAACGUCAGAAUGACCUCUUUGUUGAGAAUGUGCCCAGGACACUUUAUCAACCUUAUCAAUCCCAGAUGUCAAAAGCAUUGAGGACUGACCUAACUUCCAAAUUAUUUUCAGAAUUGCAGUAACACACCACUGAAAAGGCUGCCCCUACAGUGCAGAAAAAUGGUAGAUAGAAUUGAAGUAUGUUACCUUGCCAGAUCAAUAUGUGGACUUCUUCCCUUUCCUAGUCAUCUUCAUUAAAUCUUCAGAAUGGCUUCUGAA